UUGACUGUGGUUCAAUGGUAGAGCAUCAGCUUGGCAAGCACAAGGUCCCAGGUUCAAUCCCUAGUAUCUCCAGUAAAA
rnacentral:tRNA from 1 species